AGCGGGGUGGGGUAGCCAGGUGAACCCGCUGGGCUCAUAACCCAGAGAUCCCUGGUUCAAAUCCAGGCCCCGCUACCA
rnacentral:tRNA from 2 species